rnacentral:rRNA from 1 species
ACUCAAAGGAAUAGACGGGGGCCCGCACAAGCGGUGGAGCAUGUGGUUCAAUUCGACGCAACGCGAAGAACCUUACCUGGGCUCGAAGCGUAGUGGACCGGGGUGGAAACAUCCUUUUCUCGCAAGAGACUGCUACGUAGGUGCUGCAUGGCUGUCGUCAGCUCGUGUCGUGAGAUGUUGGGUUAAGUCCCGCAACGAGCGCAACCCUUAUUGCCAGUUGCUAACGCGUGAUGGCGAGCACUCUGGCGAAACUGCCCCGGAUAACGGGGAGGAAGGUGGGGAUGACGUCAAGUCCUCAUGGCCUUUAUGUCCAGGGCUACACACGUGCUACAAUGGUCGGUACAAACUGUCGCAAACCCGCGAGGGGGAGCUAAUCGGAAAAAGCCGGCCUCAGUUCGGAUUGGAGUCUGCAACUCGACUCCAUGAAGCUGGAAUCGCUAGUAAUCGCGGAUCAGAACGCCGCGGUGAAUACGUUCCCGGGCCUUGCACACACCGCCCGU